CGAAAGCCUGACGGAGCAAUACCGCGUGAGGGAGGAAGGCUUUUGGGUUGUAAACCUCUUUUUUCAAGGAAGAAGCAAGUGACGGUACUUGAGGAAUAAGCCACGGCUAAUUCCGUGCCAGCAGCCGCGGUAAUACGGGAGUGGCAAGCGUUAUCCGGAAUUAUUGGGCGUAAAGCGUCCGCAGGUGGUCAGUCAAGUCUGCUGUUAAAGACAGAAGCUCAACUUCUGAAUGGCGGUGGAAACUGGUUGACUAGAGUAUGGUAGGGGUUGAGGGAAUUCCCAGUGUAGCGGUGAAAUGCGUAGAGAUUGGGAAGAACACCAGUGGCGAAGGCGCUCGACUGGGCCGUAACUGACACUCAGGGACGAAAGCUAGGGUAGCG
rnacentral:rRNA from 1 species